GGCCCGCGGGCGCAGCGGGCGCCGGGCCUGCCGCGGGCUGCGCGCUCCGGGGCCCCGGGCCGAGCGGCGGGCCCGCGCCCGCCGCACUCCUCGUUCCCAGUCAUUUUCUAAUGAAAAAGCCUUGGCUUCUUUGAAAAUCCAAAGGGCGCCGGACGCUAGCGGAGAAGAGCCCCAACAAGACGGCGAAUGCAGAAAGUAAAAGGCCGGCGUCCCUCCAACCCGUCCUUCGCAAAUCUCUCCAGAGAGAUCCAGCCUUUACAGAUCGGAAGCCAGCCAGUUGAAGAAGGAUCUAGUUUCUUUGGAGACUUGUUUGGUUUGAGUGUUCUUCCUCCACCUCUGUCCGCUGAAAAUCAACACAUCCUGAAGUUGGAGAUGUGGGAAGACCCUGAACUCACCUCCUGCCGUGGACACACCAAAUCCAUAGCUACGUCUAGAACAGUUGUCUCUGAAAAAGACCUGAAAGCUAGCUGCGUAGCUCCUCCACAGCAAUGGAUAAAAAGGCCACACUGAGAUGGAUAGAAAAGACAGAGAUAUGGUCUUGCUAAAGACCCCACUCCCAGUGCAGUGACCCAUAAGCACAAGGGUGCCCACCCAUAUGCACAAAUAUGGUGCAUAUCCUUGAGAAGAGAAUUUGAUCCCCACACUAGGCACCCCAACCCUUUGCUGAACAUCUGGCUUUGAAAACCAGUGAGACUUAUAUCCAGGAGACCCAAGAGGUUGUAGGAAACUGAGACUCUGCUCCUGAAGAACUCAGACACAGACCCACUUGUCCUGGGACUCCGUACAAAAGUAGCAGGUUGGAAAAUGCCUAGACCAUAUGUGAAGGAGAUUCAUUGGCUAAGCUUAAAGUAUCUGCCAGAGGGCCAGGGGUCUGUUGGAACUCUCUCUGGGGAGGGAGGCUCUGGUGGGUUCCAUUUUUGCACUCUCUCUUCUACUUUGCUAGUGGACACCAUUUUUGCACUCUACCUUUAUCUUGCAAGUGCCAUUUCCCCUUGCCCAGUUCUGUCCUGUGGUCCCACCCUUCCAAAGUUGGUGGGCUGGCUCACCCUGACCCAGUACACCCCUGUGUGAGGCUGCUCCACCAACCUGGUGGGCAGAUGUGGUCCCACCACUGCUGACAAGUGCAUGCAGUCCACACAGGGGAUGUCCCUUGAAUGCUUGGCUCUGAUGGCCAAGGGGGCUUGGAUUUCUGGGCCCCAUGGGACUGAAGCAACUGGAGAGACACUUUUGGGCAAGGGAGCACCACAGGGCACUGAACAGACAGCAGACUGAAACGUAUUCCCAGUCUUCCUGUGAUCACUCCUUUAAGACUGGGAGAGACAGCCAUUUCACCUAAUGCAUAGAAACAGCAAAAUGAGGAAACAGGAAGAUGUUCCAAAUGAAAGAAUAAGAUAAAACUCCAGAAAAAACCUUAAUGAAAUGGAGAUAAGUAAUUUACAUGGUAAAGAGUUCAGAGUAAUGGUCAUAGAGAUGCUCAUUGAUCUUGGGAGAAUGAACACAGAGAGAACUUCAACAAAGAGACGGAAAAUAGAAGAAAGUAGGAAACAUAAAUCUCAGAGCUGAGGAAUACAAUAACUGAAAUGAAAAAUACACUGGUGGGGUGCAACAGCAGACUAGAUGAAACAGAAUAUGGGAUCAGUGACCUGGAAGGCAGGGCAGUGGAACUCACCCAAAACGGAGCAAUAAAAAGAAAAAAAGAAUUAAGAAAAGUGAAGAU
ensembl:lncRNA